GGGAAAUAAGGGAGAUCUAGGUAUUCGUGGCGAGAAAGGGGAACCAGGACUACCAGGUACUAAAUAUUUCAAAAUUUGACAAUGCUAUAAUGUUAAUUAAUUUCACUUUGAAACAGGUCAUUGUGAUUCAGAUCAAAUUAGAGCAUUAUGUUCAACUAUUAUAUCAGAAACUUUGGCGGCUUUAACAUCGACAACCCCACUACCUGCACAAUCCUCUACUUCCCGCCCUGCAAUUAAGGGUUACUCCAGAGAUGAGUAUUACGACACGUCAGUGGAACUCCCACAUUUCUAAUAAUAUGUUUCCAUAGUCGUUGGGAAGUCAGUAAUACUUUUAAAAUACAAAAUUACUACUUUAACAAUUUGGCAAUUACUUGAUUUGUUCAACUUAUAGCAAUUGCAAUAAGGAUGUAAUAAUAAAACAAUUCCAAAAUGCAUAUUAUGUAAUC